UCUUUUAUGGCAGAUUAGUGCAAUGAAUUUAAGAUUCAUAUAUAAAAUUUAUAAUUUUUUUAAGAAAU
rnacentral:tRNA from 1 species